GAGUUUGAUCAUGGCUCAGAUUGAACGCUGGCGGCAUGCCUUACACAUGCAAGUCGAACGGUAACAGGUUAAGCUGACGAGUGGCGAACGGGUGAGUAAUGUAUCGGAACGUGCCCAGUCGUGGGGGAUAACUGCUCGAAAGAGCAGCUAAUACCGCAUACGACCUGAGGGUGAAAGCGGGGGAUCGCAAGACCUCGCGCGAUUGGAGCGGCCGAUAUCAGAUUAGGUAGUUGGUGGGGUAAAGGCCUACCAAGCCGACGAUCUGUAGCUGGUCUGAGAGGACGACCAGCCACACUGGGACUGAGACACGGCCCAGACUCCUACGGGAGGCAGCAGUGGGGAACUUUGGACAAUGGACGCAAGUCUGAUCCAGCCAUGCCGCGUGCGGGAAGAAGGCCUUCGGUUGUAACCG
rnacentral:rRNA from 1 species